AGUAACUGCGAGUGAAGCGGGACAAGCUCAAAUUUAAAAUCUGGCAGAUGUUUGUCUGUCCGAGUUGUAACCUAGAGAAGUGUAACCUGUGCUGGACCGUGUACAAGUCUCCUGGAAUGGAGCAUCAUAGAGGGUGAGAAUCCCGUCUUUGACAUGGACUACCAGUGCACUGUGGUUGCACACUCAACGAGUCGAGUUGUUUGGGAAUGCAGCUCUAAAUGGGUGGUAAAUUCCAUCUAAAGCUAAAUAUUGGCGAGAGACCGAUAGCGAACAAGUACCGUGAGGGAAAGAUGAAAAGAACUUUGGAAAGAGAGUUAAACAGUAUGUGAAAUUGUUGAAAGGGAAACGCUUGAAGUCAGCUGCAUUAGCUGGGGAUCAAGCCAGCUUUUUUGCUGGGUGUACUUCCUGGUUGAUGGGCCAACAUCAGUUUUGACCAUCAGAGAAAGGCUAAGGGAAUGUGGCACCUUUAUAGGUGUGUUAUAGCCCUUGGUUGUAUGUGAUGGUUGGGACUGAGGACAGCAGUGUGCCGCAAGGCCGGGUUUCGACCACGUUCAUGCUUUGGAUGUUGGCAUAAUGGCUUUAAGCGACCCGUCUUGAAACACGGACCAAGGAGUCUAACAUGCAUGCGAGUGUUUGGGUGGAAAACUCGAGCGCGUAAUGAAAGUGAAAGUUGAGAUCCCUCUCACAGGGGAGCAUCGACGCCCGGACCAGAACUUUUGGGACGGAUCUGCGGUAGAGCAAGCAUGUUGGGACCCGAAAGAUGGUGAACUAUGCCUGAAUAGGGUGAAGCCAGAGGAAACUCUGGUGGAGGCUCGUAGCGAUUCUGACGUGCAAAUCGAUCGUCGAAUUUGGGUAU
rnacentral:rRNA from 1 species